UCUCUGUCACGCUUCUCUUCAGAUCUCUGGGUUUUGGGUCAGAUUAAUUGACAUAGAACGGGAGACCACAUGAGAAGAUCAAAGAGGAAGAAGGCGAGUCAGAACACAACCACCACCAUCUCCAUUUCAGAACUCCCAGAUCACAUGGUCUGCGACAUUCUAACUCGACUCCCUCUCAAUUCUAUCUUCACCUGCAAGCGAGUUUGCAAGCUCUGGCGCGACCUCACUCUCGGACCCUACUUCGCCAAAUUGCAUCAUUCAAGGUCUCCUCUCAGCCUCAUCUCCUACCACGACGGUAACGAUAACAACAACUCCCCCUCCUCUCACUUCGAAAUUCUCCAGCUCCACGAUCCGCUUGUCUUAAGUCGUCGCAACCGCGCCAUGAAAUUCAGAACAGAUAUCGACUUCCCUCGUAUGCAUACUCAAGUAGUAGCCUCUUGUAAUGGGUCAAUUUUGUUAAGAAAUUCCUCGUUUUGUGAUGAUGAACUUGUUAUUGCGUGUAACCCACUUAGGGCACAACAUUUUAUUCUUCCUGAACCACCAAAAUUGGCACUACGGACCUAUAAAUCAGUCCAAUUCGGGUUUGGGCAUAGUCCGUCCACUGAUCAGUACAAGGUGUUAAGACUUACUCAUACGCAUGGUCCAGAUAGAUUGUACCGUCACGUUUAUACAAUUGGGAUUGAUGAUGAGUGGAGGAGUAUUGGGGACACUGGACAGCCACCAACUAUUAUUAUCUCGCAAAUCAUUUUUCUGAAUGGGGCUCUUCACUGGAUAGGCUUAGAUAAUGCACGGUUCAUUUACUACUUCGAUAUUGAGAAAGAGCAAUUCGGAAGCUUUCCCUUGCCUUCCCGCAUUGGAAAAGAUUGUAACUCUUUUGGGCUUGUAGAUAAUCGGUUGUACCUUCACAACGACCAUUCGUUCUGUGAAUGGAGAAUCUGGGAAAUGAAAGAUUACGGAGACUUUGGGUCCUGGACUUUGGAAUGGGUCAUUGAACAACCAAUCAUUCGUGAGUUUGAAGGAUAUGUCGAGCCACUGAAAAUGUUGAUAGAUGGAAGUCUGUUGAUGAUGUUCAAAAAAACUAGUCAACGAACACCAGUCACCAAGACUACGCUAGCAUCUUACAAUCCACAAACAAGAGUGCUGAAAAAGAUUACGUAUCAUGUUAUUGUAUGCAGGACCUGGAGCACCUGGAGCGCUUCAGUUGCUGACAUACCAUGCUUCUUCUCUCCAAUGGAUGCUUUGAAAUGACUAUGUUAAGAUACUUGAGUUAAGGGUUUCGGUUCAGAUCAGACAGAGAAGACAACAUGAGAAGAUCAAAAGAAAGGCAAUUCAGAACGCCGCCGCCGCCGUCCCCACCGUCACCAUUUCAGACCUUCCAAACCACGUCACGUGCGACAUUCUGUCUCGACUCCCUCUCAACUCCAUCUUCGCCUGCAAGCGAGUUUGCAAGCUCUGGCGCGACCUCACUCUCGAACCCUACUUCGCCAAAUUGCAUCUUUCAAGGUCUCCUCUCAGCCUGAUUUCCUACCACCACGGUAAUGAUAUUGAUAACUCCCCCUCCUACUUCGAAAUUCUCCAACUUUACGAUCCCCUUGUUUUACGUCGUGGCGCCACCACGAAGUUCAGAACUGAUAUCUACUUCCCUCAUAUACAUAUGGUAGCCUCAUGUAAUGGGUCGAUUUUGUUGUCAAAUUCCUUGUCUGAUGAUGACCUUGUUAUUAUUGUGUGUAACCCACUCAGGGCACAUCAAUUUAUUCUUCCAAAACCUCCGAAAUCGGCACUACAGACCCAUAGAGUAGCCCAAUUGGGGUUUGGGCAUAGUCCAUCAACUGACCAGUACAAGGUGCUAAAAGUUACUAGUAGUAAUCGGGAUUGAUGAUGAGUGGAGGAGCAUGGGGGACACUGAACAACUACCUGCUCGUUUUAUCUCAAAAAUUAUUUUUCUGAAUGGGGCUCUUUACUGGAUAGGUGUUGAGAAUUUUCAGUUCAUUUGCUACUUCGAUAUCGAGAGAGAGCACUUCCGAAGCUUUCCCCUGCCUUCCCACAUUAGAAAAGAUCUUGUUUUUCUUGAGGUUGUAGAUAAUGGGUUGUACCUUCACAACUGGCAUUCGAGCCAUGGAUGGAGAUUCUGGGCAAUGAAAGAUUACGGGGACUUUGGGUCCUGGACUUUGGAAUGGGUCAUUGAAGAACCAAUUAUUUACAAGUUCAAAGGACUUGUCAGGCUGUUGAAAAUGUUGAAAGAUGGAAGUCUGUUGAUGAUGUUCUACGAUUUUACGGAUGCCACCAAGACUAUUAUUGCAUCUUACAAUCCACGAACAAGAGUGCUGAAAAAGAAUAAGUAUCAUCUUAGUGGAUGCUGGUGCGUUGCAGUUGAUGACAUACCGUGUUUCUUCUCUCCAAUGGAUGCUUUAAAAUGACUAUGUUAAAAUCUUUGAGUUAAGAUGCGCAGAUCCAGAGAUGUGGGAAAGUUUUUUGACGCAAGGACAAAUAUCAAGAUUUUAUUCAAUGUUGCUUCAGGAAGUGAAAGUCGCCUUUUGGUAUAGCUGUGCAGGACCUCUGGGGAAAUGUUGAAACGAAGCUGGACUCACCUCAUUGGCUAUUUAAAGUUCUUUAUCUUGUUAAUGCUUGUAGCUUGAACUUAAAUAGUUUUGGGGCUGUUCAAUUGCACAUAUGGGUAUUCUGAAUACAUAUGGGGCAGCAUCGGGACAGGAGGUGAACUUUGGUAAAUCAGGAAUCUUUUUCAGCAAGAAUACUCCUCUUGAAGUUGGGAGGGAACUGAGUCGGUUGUUGGGUAUUCGGAGUGACUCAUCUCUGGGGAAGUAUCUUGGACUUCCUACGGAGAUAGGAGAUCGAAGAAGGAGGUGCUUAAAUUGGUGAAGACCAGACUUUUGAGUUUUACUAAGGGAUGGUCGGAACUCGGAACAAAAACUAUCUCAAGCAGGGAAAGAGGUCAUGUUGAAAUCUGUUGCUCUCGGCUCACCGGUUUAUGCAAUGGCUCGCUUUCACUUUCCGGAAUCGUUUUGCAAUGAGCUGAAUGUUGCUAUGGGGCGAUAUUGGUGGGGAGAUACAGAAGGGAAAAGAAAACUCAUUGGAUGGCUUGAGAUAAGAUGGCAGAGAAGAAA